GUCAAAGUGCUUACAGUGCAGGUAGUGAUAUAUAGAACCUACUGCAGUGAAGGCACUUGUAGCAUUAUGUUG